rnacentral:rRNA from 1 species
ACAAUACUCCGAGAACUGAAAGGCUUUUUGAAGUCUUCGGAUGGAUAGAAGAACCCCUGAUGCCGUCGAGCCAAGAAAAGUUUCUAAGUUUAGCUAAUGUUGCCCGUACCGUAAACCGACACAGGUGGGUGGGAUGAGUAUUCUAAGGCGCGUGGAAGAACUCUCUUUAAGGAACUCUGCAAAAUAGCACCGUAUCUUCGGUAUAAGGUGUGGUUCGCUUCGUAUUAGGAUUUACUCCGAAAGCGAAGAAACUUACAACAAAGAGUCCCUCCCGACUGUUUACCAAAAACACAGCACUCUGCUAACUCGUAAGAGGAUGUAUAGGGUGUGACGCCUGCCCGGUGCUCGAAGGUUAAUUGAUGGGGUUAGCAUUAGCGAAGCUCUUGAUCGAAGCCCGAGUAAACGGCGGCCGUAACUAUAACGGUCCUAAGGUAGCGAAAUUCCUUGUCGGUUAAAUACCGACCUGCAUGAAUGGCGUAACGAGAUGGGAGCUGUCUCAAAGAGGGAUCCAGUGAAAUUGUAGUGGAGGUGAAAAUUCCUCCUACCCGCGGCAAGACGGAAAGACCCCGUGGACCUUUACUACAGCUUGACACUGCUACUUGGAUAAGAAUGUGCAGGAUAGGUGGGAGGCUUUGAGUAUAUGACGCCAGUUGUAUAUGAGCCAUUGUUGAGAUACCACUCUUUCUUAUUUGGGUAGCUAACCAGCUUGAGUUAUCCUCAAGUGGGACAAUGUCUGGUGGGUAGUUUGACUGGGGCGGUCGCCUCCCAAAUAAUAACGGAGGCUUACAAAGGUUGGCUCAGAACGGUUGGAAAUCGUUCGUAGAGUAUAAAGGUAUAAGCCAGCUUAACUGCAAGACAUACAAGUCAAGCAGAGACGAAAGUCGGUCUUAGUGAUCCGGUGGUUCUGUGUGGAAGGGCCAUCGCUCAAAGGAUAAAAGGUACCCCGGGGAUAACAGGCUGAUCUCCCCCAAGAGCUCACAUCGACGGGGAGGUUUGGCACCUCGAUGUCGGCUCAUCGCAUCCUGGGGCUGGAGCAGGUCCCAAGGGUAUGGCUGUUCGCCAUUUAAAGCGGUACGCGAGCUGGGUUCAGAACGUCGUGAGACAGUUCGGUCCCUAUCUGCCGUGGGCGUAAGAAGAUUGAAGAGAUUUGACCCUAGUACGAGAGGACCGGGUUGAACAAACCACUGGUGUAGCUGUUGUUCUGCCAAGAGCAUCGCAGCGUAGCUAAGUUUGGAAAGGAUAAACGCUGAAAGCAUCUAAGCGUGAAGCCAACUCUAAGAUGAAUCUUCUCUAAGCUCUCUAGAAGACUACUAGUUUGAUAGGCUGGGUGUGUAAUGGAUGAAAGUCCUUUAGCUGACCAGUACUAAUAGAGCGUUUGGCUUAUCUUUAAUAAAGCAU